rnacentral:rRNA from 1 species
UACGAAGGGUGCAAGCGUUACUCGGAAUUACUGGGCGUAAAGCGUGCGUAGGUGGUUUGUUAAGUCUGUUGUGAAAGCCCCGGGCUCAACCUGGGAAUGGCAAUGGAUACUGGCAAGCUAGAGUGCGGUAGAGGGUAGUGGAAUUCCCGGUGUAGCGGUGAAAUGGCGUAGAUAUCUGGAGGAACACCGGUGGCGAAGGCGGCAUCCUGGACCAUUACUGACGCUGAGGAGCGAAAGCCAGGGGAGCAAACGGG